rnacentral:rRNA from 1 species
UCUGGUGCCAGCAGCCAUGGUAAUUCCAGCUCCAAUAGCAUAUAUUAAAGUUGUUGCAGUUAAAAAGCUUGUAGUUGAAUUUCGGGGUUAGUAGGCUGGUCGUGCCACUGAUAUGUACUAGUCUUACUGACUUCUCCUUUCUGAAGAACUGUAAUGCCAUUAAUUUGGUGUUGCAGGGAAUCAGGACUGUUACUUUGAAAAAAUUAGAGUGUUUAAAGCAGGC